CUUCUGUUUCCUUUUCUCUUCUCUUCCCCACACAACUACAUCCAAAAUGACGAGUUGGCUUGAUUUGCCGCUUCAGCUCUCGCGCGCGCCUGGCAGCGCCGCCUGCUGGGCGCGGCGGGCGAUGCGGACAUGUUCUGGGCCCCUUUCACCAUCCAUUCAAGAACAGUGUGACCGCUUCUGAUUGGACGUUGUGUUCGAUUGCUUCAAGUUGUUACGGGUGAGCAGCGAGCGUGGAAUAAUCCCUUAAUUCAUCCGAAGUAUCUAUUGCUUCCCCCUCUCUCUUUGGCUUUAGUUUUUUCUUCUGUGGUUCAAGUGGAGGAUUCUUGUAUUUGUAAACCGAGUUAUCUUCUCCCUGUGGACAAACAUGGCACUCCGGAGCAUGGUUUUUAUCAUAUGUGCAUGUUCAUGUGCAGUACAUAUAUGUACGUGGACAUGAGCGUGGACAUGAACAUACAUACAUACAUACAUAUUGAUUGUAUCUAAAUCAUUUACGUAGGAAUUUCACUUGGUAAUCAUGAUUCUCAGCAAAUUCCUCUCCCGAGUUCUUAUAUCUGGAGUAGGUCUCAGCCAACUUUUUGCUUCAAUCAUCGAUCCCCGC
rnacentral:sRNA from 1 species